AUCGCAUCGCCGUGGCGCGGUCAGGGCGAUGGCGUCCCAUGAUCAGGCGGGCAGGGCGCGCGUCGUGAGGCGGAGAGAGGUGGCGCGCAGGUCGAUCCGAUGAGGAUGCAGGGUCGGGGCUGAUCUCGUCCAAAGUUUGUUUGGAUCGCAGGAACGGGAGAUCGAGAGCCGAAAGAGAAAUCGCGCGUUGGCCGUGACAAGACACGCAGGGAGCGAGACGAGGGGGGCGUGAACGACCACAUCAUCUAUGUAUGUAUGUAUAGACUAGAGAACAAAUCCUACGUGAUAGUUCAAGGAGAGUGACAAGAAGCAAACUUACAUGUUAUUGGGAGAUGGCACAUCUUCACAACCCGACGCUAGUACUCCCAUGACUAUGACUGCGGCACCAAAGAAGAUGACUCCCAAGAGAAAGCUACGCAUCGAAUGAAUUUUUUUUAGUGUUUGAUGAGAUGUAAACUCGUGUUUUAUUCAUGCACCUUGGAUUAUUGUCUUAUAACAUGUGGUUGUGAUUGCUACAAAUUGUGGAUUUAUUAGAUGAUCUCGUUUGUGUUAUAAUCAUGGUUGAAUCUAUGACUUGGAUCUA